AUCCAGCUGACGAGUCCCAAACAGGACGCAACGCCUGUCCUGGAU
rnacentral:hammerhead_ribozyme from 1 species